rnacentral:rRNA from 1 species
GACGAACGCUUGGGGCGUGCCUAAGAAAUGCAAGUCGAGCGGGGGUAGCAAUACCCUAGCGGCGAACGGUCGCGUAACACGUAAGCAACCUGCCUCGAAGACCGGGACAACAUCUCGAAAGGGGUGCUAAUACCGGAUGUGGCCAUCUUUUCGCAUGUUGAGAUGAUUAAAUCCAGCAAUGGGCUUGGAGCGGGGCUUGCGGCCUAUCAGCUAGUUGGUGGGGUAACGGACUACCAAGGCGACGACGGGUAGCUGGUCUGAGAGGACGAUCAGCCGGACUGGGACUGAGAUACGGCCCAGACUCCUACGGGGGGCAGCAAUUAGGAAUCUUGCACAAUGGGGGAAACCCUGAUGCAGCGACGCCGCGUGGAGGAGGAAGUCCUUCGGGAUGUAAACUCCUUUUCUGGGGGAAGAAACGAAUGACGGUACCCCAGGAAUAAGCUCCGGCUAACUACGUGCCAGCCGCCGCGGUAAUAC